rnacentral:rRNA from 1 species
UACGGGGGGGGCAAGCGUUGUUCGGAAUUACUGGGCGUAAAGGGCUCGUAGGCGGCCAACUAAGUCAGACGUGAAAUCCCUCGGCUUAACCGGGGAACUGCAUCUGAUACUGGAUGGCUUGAGUUCGGGAGAGGGAUGCGGAAUUCCAGGUGUAGCGGUGAAAUGCGUAGAUAUCAGGAGGAACACCGGUGGCGAAGGCGGCUAUCUGGACAGAGUCUGACGCUGAGGCGCGAAAGCUAGGGGAGCAAACAGG